ensembl:lncRNA
CAGCAAUCUUAGCUUCAUCUUCCUUUAUCUUGGAAAAUCUGGGUAAUGGCAUUAAGUGUAUUUUUCCAUAAAUAAUUUACAGGAGGAGACCAACCUUGUAAUUGCAAUGGAAAAUAUUUAUUUCUUGUUAUUUCGCCCAAUCAUGUGCAAAUUCCUCCUGCUUACUUGUCUAAGACUGCCACAAAAGAAAAAAAUACUUAAAAGGCAAUGUUUAAAAUACCCUGGAAAACACCACAAGCUUAAAACAAGCCAGUAGGGUAGCAAAAGGCAAAGCAAGACACAGUAAAUUCCAGACAGAGAGCCAAAUUCCACAGAUAAACAUUAAACCGGAAAAAAAAAUAAAAAAAAAAAAAAUCCUUGCAAUUUCUAAGAUUAUUGGAAGCGGGUGUCUGUUGUCAUUGAUUUAAACUUCUUAAAGAAGAAUUAAAAAAUUCGGUUUUUAGCAUUUCUGCCCUUCCUGCUGCAGGAAUGGCCCGGCCUUCGCUCCCCCACCACAGCCACGGCAGAGACAGCCCCAGGAGCCAGGCUUCAAACUCAGCCCCAGCCUCAUCCCUCCCUCGACCUGCCGGGAAUGUGAAAUCUGCUGGCUGCAAACAUCGCUCCCAGCUCGAAUUCCCAGCGAUUUUCCUUUCAGAAAGCUCUAAUGAGACAAUGUUUACAGAGCUCCUGCGUGGCAGCAGCGUGAGCGGCCCUGCCCUGCGGUGCCGGGGCCUGCGGCCAGCUCCGGGCUCCAGCAGCUCCACCAAACUUCCUUCAGGCCACCUCACUGGGUGCCCCUAAAUGCUGGUGCUGGUCAGAGGGACACUCCAGCAGGAAGGAUCCUUGUUUCUUCACCAUGGAUUGCUCUGCAGGAUUCAGCAGCCUCAGGAAAAACCCAUGGGGAUCCAGGUCCAUCAGGAUGAGAAGAGCAGCAGCCAGAAUAGAGAAAACCCUCACAGCUAAUGUUCACAGAACAUUAACCUGGAGUUUCAACCAGCUCAUUGCUCUCACUUUGCAGUAGCAGAGCUUUUGUUAAAGGUCUGUUCCCACAUUUUUAAUGAGAGUUGUGACAAUCAAUUGGAAAGUUUCAGCCUUUGGACUGUUUCUAGCUUUGGUGGCAUUUGCAGGCACUGUAAUUUUACAUUUUUGAAACUUCAUGUCUUUCUCCUGUUCUGAAUGGUGAUGCUGUGACACACAGUCCAAAAGAGAGCCAGCACACCACAGAAUUUACCUUCUCUCUGACAAAAUCCACACCUUGUGGCUGCUUGGUUCUCACUAAAUACAACAUUACAACCUGAGCCAUUUCUCUCAAUAUUAUUUUGAAAAAUAACAAGUUCAAGGUGAAACCUGAGACUUCAAAAGAUUGAGGAAGGGAGACGGGGGAGAAGGUAUUUUUGAAUCCCACCACAGCUGAAAUGCCAGUGUUUGCAAUGCCAACCCACACACUUCUUGGCAGCUUUUAGAAAUGUUUCAGAACACAGCCACGAGAAGGUUGCCAGCAUAAGAAAUUCUGCCUUCCAAAGUCUUAAAAACUUGUUUUUCUGCACUAUGCAACUGGACUCUUGGCUGUGGGUUAGAAGUCCCCUGGGUGGAAAUAGGUCUCCAACAGCAGAGGGCUCUUUUGGCUCAGCAAAUGAUGGAAUUGUCAGCCCUAGUAGCUGAAACUAACUGAUAAAACAAAUUAAAAGCAGAACAGAAAUGAGCUGUGAAUUUAAACAGCAAGGCUAAACUUUAUUGGAACAGCUCAGCUGCUGACAGAUGUGAUAGAGAAGUGAGAAUGUCUUGAAAAGUGAAUUUUGCUGUAGAAAUAACCUAAUAAAACACUCCUUCUAGACGGUGUUAUGUAGUAG